AAUCGCACAAUACGGUCCGGUUC
rnacentral:siRNA from 1 species